AUUGGUCAAUGGGCGGAAGCCUGAACCAGCCAUGCCCGCGUGCGGGAAGGAGGCCCUAUGGGCUGUGAACCGCUUUUGCCUGGGGGCAAUAAGGGCGUCGCGCACGUCCGAUGAGAGUACCAGGCGAAUAAGCAUCGGCUAACUCCGUGCCAGCAGCCGCGGUAAUACGGGGGAUGCGAGCGUUAUCCGGAUUCAUUGGGUUUAAAGGGUGCGUAGGCUGUGCGUCAAGUCGGGGGUGAAAUUCCGGUGCUCAACCGGGGCUUGCCCUUGAUACUGUCGCGCUGGAGUGCGGAGUGCGGAUGCCGCCGGAGGAAUGAGUGGUGUAGCGGUGAAAUGCUUAGAUAUGACUCAGAACACCGAUUGCGAAGGCAUCUGGCGAAUCCGUAACUGACGCUGAGGCACGAAAGCGUGGGAUAGAACAGGAUUAGAUACCCUGGUAUUCCACGCCGUAAACGAUGAUGGCUAACCGCCGGCGANACACUGU
rnacentral:rRNA from 1 species